GUGCACACACACACAUACGU
rnacentral:miRNA from 1 species